AGAUUAAUACCGCAUAACAUAAGAGAAUCGCAUGAUUUUCUUAUCAAAGAUUUAUUGCUUUGAGAUGGACCCGCGGCGCAUUAGCUAGUUGGUAAGGUAACGGCUUACCAAGGCAACGAUGCGUAGCCGACCUGAGAGGGUGAUCGGCCACAUUGGAACUGAGACACGGUCCAGACUCUUACGGGAGGCAGCAGUGGGGAAUAUUGCGCAAUGGGGGAAACCCUGACGCAGCAACGCCGCGUGGGUGAUGAAGGUCUUCGGAUUGUAAAGCCCUGUUUUCUGGGACGAUAAUGACGGUACCAGAGGAGGAAGCCACGGCUAACUACGUGCCAGCAGCCGCGGUAAUACGUAGGUGGCGAGCGUUGUCCGGAUUUACUGGGCGUAAAGGGUGCGUAGGCGGAUGUUUAAGUGGGAUGUGAAAUCCCCGGGCUUAACCUGGGGGCUGCAUUCCAAACUGGAUAUCUAGAGUGCAGGAGAGGAAAGCGGAAUUCCUAGUGUAGCGGUGAAAUGCGUAGAGAUUAGGAAGAACACCAGUGGCGAAGGCGGCUUUCUGGACUGUAACUGACGCUGAGGCACGAAAGCGUGGGUAGCAAACAGGAUUAGAUACCCUGGUAGUCCACGCCGUAAACGAUGGAUACUAGGUGUAGGGGGUAUCAACUCCCCCUGUGCCGCAGUUAACACAAUAAGUAUCCCGCCUGGGGAGUACGGUCGCAAGAUUAAAACUCAAAGGAAUUGACGGGGGCCCGCACAAGCAGCGGAGCAUGUGGUUUAAUUCGAAGCAACGCGAAGAACCUUACCUGGACUUGACAUCCCUUGCAUAGCCUAGAGAUAGGUGAAGCCCUUCGGGGCAAGGAGACAGGUGGUGCAUGGUUGUCGUCAGCUCGUGUCGUGAGAUGUUAGGUUAAGUCCUGCAACGAGCGCAACCCUUGUUAUUAGUUGCUACCAUUAAGUUGAGCACUCUAAUGAGACUGCCUGGGUAACCAGGAGGAAGGUGGGGAUGACGUCAAAUCAUCAUGCCCCUUAUGUCCAGGGCUACACACGUGCUACAAUGGUAGGUACAAUAAGACGCAAGACCGUGAGGUGGAGCAAAACUUAUAAAACCUAUCUCAGUUCGGAUUGUAGGCUGCAACUCGCCUACAUGAAGCUGGAGUUGCUAGUAAUCGCGAAUCAGAAUGUCGC
rnacentral:rRNA from 1 species